rnacentral:lncRNA from 1 species
CAGAUGGAAGGAGAUGGCAAGGACCAAUCUGGGGCCGAGCAGGAACAAAAGCAGCAACGCUAACGGAAAAGGGCCGCGCCGGGCUGGUGGGCCAGACAAACCAGACAUGGUGCUGGAGACUCGUUCACCACCGAAGGCCUCAACCGCGCCGGAACCGGGGGGACCCACGUGACUCACCUCUGACCUUCUGAUGCCGUCCGCGCCAUUUUGGAGACUGGCAACACCAUAGCAACCAAGCCCCAAUAGGAAACAGCCACAAGGCCCUUCGCUGGGCCCGCCCACCG